rnacentral:lncRNA from 1 species
CAUUCCUACUCGACAAUAGAAACUUCUGCUUCAAAUUUCAUAUGUUGAAUUCUAUGAGUUUGUUUGAACAAGUCGACAAAUUUUUUCUUUUCUUUUUUUUUUACUUUUUAGAAAUACAAAAAUCAAAACCAAGUAUCAAUCGUGAAAUUUUGAAGAGUAAUUUCCAAAUGAAAUCCUUAUUAGGAGUAUUUGAAAACUAAAAUAUGGAAAGA